rnacentral:rRNA from 1 species
UACGGGGGGGGCAAGCGUUGUUCGGAAUUACUGGGCGUAAAGGGCUCGUAGGCGGCCAACUAAGUCAGACGUGAAAUCCCUCGGCUUAACCGGGGAACUGCGUCUGAUACUGGAUGGCUUGAGUUUGGGAGAGGGAUGCGGAAUUCCAGGUGUAGCGGUGAAAUGCGUAGAUAUCAGGAGGAACACCGGUGGCGAAGGCGGCCCUCUGGACGGUGACUGACGCUGAGACGCGAAAGCGUGGGGAGCAAACAGG